rnacentral:rRNA from 3 species
CCCGGUGAUUGGAGCGCCGUCGAACUACCCCUUUCCAUUCCGAACAGGGUCGUCAAAGGCGGUAGCGGGAACGAUAGUUGUUCCGCGAGGAACUGCGAAAAUACCUCAUCGCCGGGG